UGGGUUGUGGCUCAGAGGUAGAGUGCUCACCUGGCAUGUGUGAGGCACUGCGUUUGAUUCCCAGCAUCACAU
rnacentral:tRNA from 1 species